AAAUGCGAUAAGUAAUGUGAAUUGCAGAAUUCAGUGAAUCAUCGAAUCUUUGAACGCACCUUGCGCUCCUUGGUAUUCCUUGGAGCAUGCCUGUUUGAGUAUCAUGAAAUCUUCAAAGUAAAUCUUUUGUUAACUCAAUUGGUUUCUACUUUGGUAUUGGAGGUCUUUGCAGCUUCACACCUGCUCCUCUUUGUUCAUUAGCUGGAUCUCAGUGUUAUGCUUGGUACCACUCGGCGUGAUAAGUUAUCUAUCGCUGAGGACACUGUAAAAGGUGGCCAAGGUAAAUGCAGAUGAACCGCUUCUAAUAGUCCAUUGACUUGGACAAUACUUUUAUGAUCUGAUCUCAAAUCAGGUAGGACUACCCGCUGAACUUAAGC
rnacentral:misc_RNA from 1 species